rnacentral:tRNA from 1 species
AUUAACUUAGUUUAAAAAAAAUUUCAUUUUGUGAAAAUGGGGAUUCUUAAGAAGUUAAUA